rnacentral:rRNA from 1 species
GUUCAUGCUGUCAACGAUGAGUGUUGCAUAUUGGGAAUUAGCAAGAUCUUGGUGUGUCAGCAAACGCGUUAAACACUCCGCCUGGGGACUACGGUCGCAAGACUAAAACUCAAAGGAAUUGACGGAAACUUCUACAAGCGGUGGAGCAUGUGGUUUAAUUUGAUAAGGAACGAAAAUCUUACCAAUUCUUAAAUAUAAGAAAACUUGAUUUUUAAAAAAGAAGUUCAAUUUCAUACAAAAAAGAGGUAAUGAAAGAGAAAAAGU